rnacentral:rRNA from 1 species
AACGAACGCUGGCGGCAGGCCUAACACAUGCAAGUCGAGCGAGGACUUCGGUCCUAGCGGCGGACGGGGGGGUAACGCGUGGGAACUUGCCCGUUGGUUCGGUAUCGUCGUGGGAAACUGGGAGUAAUACCGGAUGAGCCCUUUGGGGGUAAGAUUUAUCGGCGAAGGAUCGGGCCGCGUUGGAUUAGGUGGUUGGUGGGGUAAUGGCGUGCCAAGAAGUCGAUGCAUAGCUGGUGUGAGAGGAUGCUCCGCCACACUGGGACUACGACACGGCCCAGACUCCUACGGAAGGGAGCAGUGGGGAAUCUUAGACGAUGGGGGAAGCCCUGAUCUAGCCAUGCCGCGUGAGCGAUGAAGGCCUUAGGGUUGUAAAGCUCUUUCAGCUGGGAAGAUAAUGACGGUACCAGCAGAAGAAGCACCGGCUAACUCCGUG